rnacentral:rRNA from 1 species
CCUACGGGAGGCUGCAGUGGGGAAUAUUGCACAAUGGGCGCAAGCCUGAUGCAGCCAUGCCGCGUGUGUGAAGAAGGCCUUCGGGUUGUAAAGCACUUUCAGCGGGGAGGAAGGCGUUAAGGUUAAUAACCUUGGCGAUUGACGUUACCCGCAGAAGAAGCACCGGCUAACUCCGUGCCAGCAGCCGCGGUAAUACGGAGGGUGCAAGCGUUAAUCGUAAUUACUGGGCGUAAAGCGCACGCAGGCGGUCUGUCAAGUCGGAUGUGAAAUCCCCGGGCUCAACCUGGGAACUGCAUUCGAAACUGGCAGGCUAGAGUCGUGUAGAGGGGGGUAGAAUUCCAGGUGUAGCGGUGAAAUGCGUAGAGAUCUGGAGGAAUACCGGUGGCGAAGGCGGCCCCCUGGACAAAGACUGACGCUCAGGUGCGAAAGCGUGGGGAGCAAACAGGAUUAAUACCCCGGUAGUC